rnacentral:rRNA from 1 species
AAUCCUGACACAGGGAGGUAGUGACAAGAAAUAACAAUACAGGGCUACUUCUAGUCUUGUAAUUGGAAUGAGUACAACUUACAUCUCUUCACGAGGAUCAAUUGGAGGGCAAGUCUGGUGCCAGCAGCCGCGGUAAUUCCAGCUCCAAUAGCGUAUAUUAAAGUUGUUGCAGUUAAAAAGCUCGUAGUCGGAUUUCGGGGCGGGCCGAGCGGUCUGCCGAUGGGUAUGCACUGUUCGGCGCGUCCUUCUUUCCGGAGACUAGUUCUACUCUUAACUGAGCGGGACUGGGAGACGGAUCGUUUACUUUGAAAAAAUCAGAGUGUUUCAAGCAGGCAGCUCGCUCUUGCAUGGAUUAGCAUGGGAUAAUGAAAUAGGACUCUGGUGCUAUUUUGUUGGUUUCGAACACCGGAGUAAUGAUUAACAGGGACAGUCA